GGGGAAUUUUGGACAAUGGGCGCAAGCCUGAUCCAGCCAUGCCGCGUGCGGGAAGAAGGCCUUCGGGUUGUAAACCGCUUUUGUCAGGGAAGAAAUCCUUUGGGUUAAUACCUCGGGGGGAUGACGGUACCUGAAGAAUAAGCACCGGCUAACUACGUGCCAGCAGCCGCGGUAAUACGUAGGGUGCAAGCGUUAAUCGGAAUUACUGGGCGUAAAGCGUGCGCAGGCGGUUAUGCAAGACAGAUGUGAAAUCCCCGGGCUCAACCUGGGAACUGCAUUUGUGACUGCAUAGCUGGAGUGCGGCAGAGGGGGAUGGAAUUCCGCGUGUAGCAGUGAAAUGCGUAGAUAUGCGGAGGAACACCGAUGGCGAAGGCAAUCCCCUGGGCCUGCACUGACGCUCAUGCACGAAAGCGUGGGGAGCAAAC
rnacentral:rRNA from 1 species